rnacentral:rRNA from 1 species
AAUGAACGCUGGCGGCAUGCCUUACACAUGCAAGUCGAGCGGACAGAUGAGCUAGUUGGCCCGCUGACUGUCGCGUCGCAAAGGUGAGUGACAUGUGUAGGACCUUGCUUUUUAGCUGGGGAUAACGCGGGAAACCUGACGUAAUUACCGCAUAUUUAUUGAACAGGAAAGCAGAAUACCUUAGGACGUUUCUCUAGUCGAGCAUCGGAUGUCCCGCGCCGCAUUAGCUAGUUGGUAAGGUAACGGCUUACCAAGGCAACGAUGCGUAGCCGAUCUGAGAGGGUGAUCGGCCACACUGGAACUGAGACACGGUCCAGACUCCUACGGGAGGCAGCAGUGGGGAAUUUUGGGCAAUGGGCGAAAGCCUGACCGAGCAACGCCGCGUGAGUGAAGAAGGUCUUCGGGUUGUAAAGCUCUUUUGUUUGGGAAGAAAACGUGUGCAAGUAACUAGGCAGGUGAUGACGGUACCAGAACAGGAAGCACCGGCUAACUACGUG